rnacentral:rRNA from 1 species
AUUGAACGCUGGCGGAAUGCUUUACACAUGCAAGUCGAGCGGCAGCGCGGGGGCAACCUGGCGGCGAGCGGCGAACGGGUGAGUAAUACAUCGGAACGUACCCAGUUGUGGGGGAUAGCCCGGCGAAAGCCGGAUUAAUACCGCAUACGACCUGAGGGUGAAAGGGGGGGAUCGCAAGACCUCUCGCAGUUGGAGCGGCCGAUGGCGGAUUAGCUAGUUGGUAGGGUAAAGGCCUACCAAGGCGACGAUCCGUAGCUGGUCUGAGAGGACGACCAGCCACACUGGAACUGAGACACGGUCCAGACUCCUACGGGAGGCAGCAGUGGGGAAUUUUGGACAAUGGGGGGCAACCCUGAUCCAGCCAUUCCGCGUGAGUGAAGAAGGCCUCGGUU